UUAUUUGCAGGAGCAGCAUGGGAAGGAGACUUCAGGAUUAGAUACAGCAUAGCUUAAUUUGGACCAGCCACACAUUUGAAGUGCUCAAUACUCACAUUUAGCUGAUGGCUACCAUAUUGGACAAAACAGAUUUAGAGCAUCUUGAAAUGAAUUAAAUUUGGAACAAAUGCUAUACAGUCUUUUCAUCUGUAACUCAGCUGUGAAAAUAGCAAUAUCUCACAAUUGAGUAUAAAUUUUUAGACAAGAGGUGGAAAAUGACUGACAUUUGUAUUGUUACUGCCACUCAACUUUUUACUGUAACAACAGCAGAUGUUACUCCUAGAUCUCAACACAUUUUCCUACUAAGUCUGCAGGCAGCCAUUGUGAAAGAAUUGAAUCUGCCAUAUAAGCUAACACAAGAAGACUAUGAUUUGGAAGUUGCAAUGGAGAUAUUAGAAGAAACACCUAGAUACUUCACUAGAAGUGCUGCAAAAAUGACAGCAUAAAUUGUGCAAUUUCACAACCCUCCAACUCCCCCCCACCGCAAAAAAAAACUACAAGCAUUUAACGGCCUUAUGAGUAUGUAUGUGACAUGUGUAUUUUAUUAGAGGCAGUUCUCAGUUUCCCUCAUCCAAGCUGUUAAGAUCGUAUAAGACUAAGUCAAAGCUGAUCCUCCUUCUAAACCCGCCUCUCCCCACAGCCCAAAAUGUGCACUCUGUGAACAUAAUUGCCCAAGGAAAACGGAAGCUUGAGCUCUCCGAGCAUCCGUAUUCAUGGGAGCAGCACUUUUGUACUUUGCAAGACCAGAAUGGGCUCCCCACCUGUAUUGGUGACCCAUUUAACCGGACUGAUUUUACUGCUUUGUCAAACUUAUUGGGCAUGAAAAUAAAGUCUGCUCUAUAGAAGUAAACAAAGAGCCUGGAAACAGUUUGAAGCCUGCCUGCUAAUGAAGGCCCUUGGUCACUUCCUCCUUGAAAAUCAAGGCUUCCUGCAAAAAGAAUAAACUGCCCUCCAUGACAGAGAAUCAAGUAACCAGGUAUUUACAUUUAGACAAGAUUCAGUCUCGUCUGGCAGCCUAGAAAAACGCACAGCUGUCAAGAAUCAAAUAAAGGCUUUCAAAAAA
ensembl:lncRNA novel transcript